GAUGAAGAACGCAGCGAAAUGCGAUAAGUAGUGUGAAUUGCAGAAUUCAGUGAAUCAUCGAAUCUUUGAACGCACAUUGCGCCCCUUGGUAUUCCAUGGGGCAUGCCUGUUCGAGCGUCAUUUGUACCCUCAAGCUUUGCUUGGUGUUGGGUGUUUGUCUCGCCUUUGCGUGUAGACUCGCCUUAAAACAAUUGGCAGCCGGCGUAUUGAUUUCGGAGCGCAGUACAUCUCGCGCUUUGCACUCAUAACGACGACGUCCAAAAGUACAUUUUUACACUCUUGACCUCGGAUCAGGUAGGGAUACCCGCUGAACUUAAGCAUAUCAAUAAGCGGAGGA
rnacentral:misc_RNA from 1 species